AUUGAACGCUGGCGGCAUGCCUUACACAUGCAAGUCGAACGGCAGCACGGGGGCAACCCUGGUGGCGAGUGGCGAACGGGUGAGUAAUACAUCGGAACGUAUCCUGUAGCGGGGGAUAACCUCUCGAAAGAGAGGCUAAUACCGCAUACGACCUACGGGUGAAAGAGGGGGAUCGCAAGACCUCUCACUAUUGGAGCGGCCGAUGUCGGAUUAGCUAGUUGGCGGGGUAACAGCCCACCAAGGCUACGAUCCGUAGCUGGUCUGAGAGGACGACCAGCCACACUGGAACUGAGACACGGUCCAGACUCCUACGGGAGGCAGCAGUGGGGAAUUUUGGACAAUGGGCGCAAGCCUGAUCCAGCCAUGCCGCGUGAGUGAAGAAGGCCUGGUGUAAG
rnacentral:rRNA from 1 species